rnacentral:rRNA from 1 species
UGAAGAUCUUGGUGACUGAGUGGCGGACGGGUGAGUAACGCGUGGGUAACCUGCCUCAUACAGGGGGAUAACAGUUAGAAAUGACUGCUAAUACCGCAUAAGACCACAGCACCGCAUGGUGCAGGGGUAAAAACUCCGGUGGUAUGAGAUGGACCCGCGUCUGAUUAGGUAGUUGGUGGGGUAACGGCCUACCAAGCCGACGAUCAGUAGCCGACCUGAGAGGGUGACCGGCCACAUUGGGACUGAGACACGGCCCAAACUCCUACGGGAGGCAGCAGUGGGGAAUAUUGCACAAUGGGGGAAACCCUGAUGCAGCGACGCCGCGUGAGCGAUGAAGUAUUUCGGUAUGUAAAGCUCUAUCAGCAGGGAAGAAAAUGACGGUACCUGACUAAGAAGCACCGGCUAAAUACGUGCCAGCAGCCGCGGUAAUACGUAUGGUGCAAGCGUUAUCCGGAUUUACUGGGUGUAAAGGGAGCGUAGACGGAGUGGCAAGUCUGAUGUGAAAACCCGGGGCUCAACCCCGGGACUGCAUUGGAAACUGUCAAUCUAGAGUACCGGAGAGGUAAGCGGAAUUCCUAGUGUAGCGGUGAAAUGCGUAGAUAUUAGGAGGAACACCAGUGGCGAAGGCGGCUUACUGGACGGU